CUGAAAAUGUUUAAAAUACUCGUUAUGGCAAUUUUUAUCGUGGACGACAAUUUACUGAUCAUAUCGCCACCACUGUCCGGUUUUUUCUUUUCUGUUAAGUUGCGCACUUGUAACUUCAUGUUAUUAUACAAUUACUUUAUGGUUUCCGGGCUUGGAUGGCCUGAUCCAAACACGCGGGAAUGUUGCGAGAGUUAAGAAAAGCGCACGAAAGCACGAGUCGAAGGCGAGUGAUUUUGCGCGCUUUUCUUAACUCGAGCAACAUUCCCAAGUGUUUGGAUCGGGCCAUUCAAACACGGAAACCAUAAAGUAAUUGUUUUAUAAAAUAACAACACCGCCGUAGUUUCGAACGAUCGGAACACGCGUUAUAUAUACAUGUUAUUUUAUAACUAAAGUUCCUUGAAUGUUCACAUGCCCGGGGGUAUUUACCUCGUUACACAAUUCAUGGAAAUAUGACCUGCAAUGUCCUCGUACCAUCGUUCUUCUUGCCCAAUAAAGUCGUUGUCGUUGAUCAUAUCAGCCAUCCAAGCAACACAGUCCAUGUCCCAGGUGUUGGUGACGCUCCGCGGGUUCGGAGUUCUUCUAUAAACCCUAUUCGCUUAACCCUAAAAUAUGAUUCCCACACUCUUCAAAUCCUAAGAAGCUAUACUAAAAAGA